CCUUGUCGUGAUAUGUGACGGGGUCCUGAUCUUCAUGACGUCGGAUCAAACACCAGAUAACUAGCUUGAGAGAAGCCAAGAUUAAUUGCUACAAGUAGUGAUAACUAGUGCAACCUGAUAAAUAAAACUCGAAGCCAACCACCGUCUUUAACCGGCAAACUGAAUCAAGGAUUCACCCAACCACACUCUCAAAGAACCAUCCAACACAACCUACAAUCAAUCAACUUGAAGGGAGUAGGAGCACCAAUUGGGAGCAGAUGAAGCCGCCACUUCUGUAAUCCGACGAGUUAAUCACAAGAGCAAAGGGGCAAGAGCAAAGGGGCAGAGAUCACUUUCUAAAUAUUUGUUAGCACACAACUUAGCAAAGGGGUUAUAUAUUUCGAUUAUCAAAAGUCUGCGAUUCCUAUGUAGCACACUACUAAAAAACUUAACUGUGACGGGCAUUUU
rnacentral:lncRNA from 1 species